UUUUUUAAGCUGCAGAAAAAUAUAUAGCAGAGGUGUGUGCCUCACUAAGGUCACCUGCCUCUCAGUGAUUGAGGUACCAGGGGCUUUAACAACUGUAUUAAACUUCAAAAUAUAUUUUGGACCUAGAAUUCAAUUUAGCCUAGUAAAGAAAGGUAGGCACCCACUUUGAGAAUUCGAAUUAAAUUAUAUGCUUAUGGCAUACCCCUAAAAAAAUGAGAUAUGUCAAUGAGGAGUUGACAUAUUCACAGAUUGGUUUUUCCCCUUUACUUAAUUUCUAUAUGGGCAAAUAUUCAUUCCAAUUUCUUGAAUAUAAUAAUCAGUUUUAUUUUGAGAAGUUCUGUUAAAAGUGAGGAACAAAUUUCACAAGAUUGCGGGAAAUGGAGAAUUUGAACAAGGAGAAUUCACUUGGAUUGAUAUUGCAAAUUCAGUUACAACCCUUCUUCUGCAAUUACGUUAAUUCUUCUUACUGCCAAACCAAAAUACAACUCACAAACAUAAAAGAAAAGAAAAGAAAUAACCCAGAAGAUAAGUUCUCCCAAGCAAGAAACACAGAGCUUGCCCCAGCAGUACUGCCAAAAUAAUUCUUUAGUAAAUUCUUCACUGCCACCCUUCUCAGAUUCUUCCUAUUUCAAUCUUUCCAACCUCAGCUCCCAUUCUGUUAGUUUCUCCACUCCAGGUGUACUCUGUGAGAUUCACUCCAACAGAAUUUGGCAUCUAUUUCCACCAAGUAUGACAGCAGAUGAAUUGGCUACAGAAUCUUCUGAUCUCUCUUUUUGUUCCUUCUGUAGUAUACCUGAGGCUGACCUUCUCCUUCACCAACAUUUUUUGGGCUUUUAGCUGAAUUCAUAACAAUGUGUGGACAAUUGUACUGAAGUAGCCCUAACAUUAUGCAGAAUAACGUGUGUGUUUGUGUUGUUUUGGGUAGAGGGUUCAGCGAUUGGAUUUUUCUUUCCUUUAGGGCGGGGUGGGGAGGUGGGUUGCACCCGUCUUCUUGUUUCGUUUGAGAACAAGCAUAUUAUCACUAGUAUAUUAUUAAUAUGAUUUAUGGACUAUGUAUGAAUUGCCACGAUUGUCCAUGAUUAUCUGCAGGCAGAGUUUUGUUGAUGUUGGGAAAAGUGCAGUUUGAACUUCAAAAACUUGUUGAUAGCUAUGUGAGUGCUAGCUGUUUCAUUGUAAUUGUACGAUGCUUUUUGAGAUAAUUAUGGACUAAUACCUUCAAUUGAUCCUGGUUCUAACUUACUGUUGUUGGUAAUUCAGAGGUCUCAUAUAUUUUUGACAAUUACAAAUCCAUCGGAGUCUCUUCUCAAUGAACUUCGGACAGUUGAGGAUAUGAAGCGACAAUGCGACGAAAAAAGAAAAGUCUAUGAAUACAUGGUGGCACAACAGAAAGAAAAAGGAAAGUCAAAGAGUGGGAAAAGUGAAAGUUUUUCUUUGCAGAAACUGCGAACAGCUCAUGAUGAAUAUGAUGAAGAGGCAACCCUGUGUGUUUUCCGGUUGAAAUCUCUGAAACAAGGACAGUCUCGAAGUCUUCUAACACAGGCAGCUCGUCACCAUGCAGCUCAGUUGAAUUUCUUUAGGAAGGGACUUAAAUCACUUGAGGCUGUUGAUCAACAUGUAAAAUUUGUUACAGACCAACAACAUAUUGAUUAUCAAUUCUGUGGGCUUGAAGAAGAUGGUAGGGAAGAUGGUGAAGAUGAUGAGGAUGGUGAUGAUACAAAUGGAGGGAGGGAACUGAGCUUUGACUACAGAGCAAAUAAGCAGGGGCAUGAUGUUGUUUAUGCGUCUAGUAAUUCAAUGGAGGUAAGGAUGUAAAUGUAAUAUUAAUAGGAAAUAUUUUAGGUUUAUAAGAAGAUCCACUGUGCUUAAUUUAUUUAUCAUUUUCUAUGCCUAACCUUCCUGAAGUACCAUCCCAUCCCUUCGUAUUCUUUUUUUUUUCUUUUUUAUUGCUUUGUGAUUUACAUGUUACUCCUGUUAUGUCUUGAAAUUUUAUGAAUGCCUUAUUGGUGAGCUUGUAACAAACUGCCAUCCUUCCUUUAUUUUUAUAUUUUGAGAUAUUCUUCUUUCUGUAAUAAUGAUUUACAUUACUGUAUAGGAAGAGUUUAUCAAAGUAUUAUUAUUAUCGUUGCUGCUGUUGUUGCACUUUUAUUCUUUUACACGAAUUACUCUUACAUAAGAUUAUAGUAGCUUGUGAUUGAGUCUUAGUUGGAUGGAGUAUAUAUUACUAUCUUGUAAAAUGUCCUGUUGAAUCUUCCUUCAUGAACUUGUUAAAUAACUUGGUAUUUUGGGCAGUUUGGUGUUUCACUUGAAUCAAAAUGAGCAGUACUAUUAGCUGGCUUUUAAUUAUGUUAAUGGCUAUGGACUUGUCCUAUUGUUGAAUGAAAUUAUUAACUUAUUUUGUGGAAGGGUAGACGCCUAUCAUAAUUGUAAUGUGCUUCCUUUAUAGAAGAGUAUGAAGGGGUGGACCUUUGUUUGAAGAAGGGACUGUUCUCAUAAUAGUAAUGGAAGUGCAUUGUGUAAAAGAAUGGAUAUCUUUCUUAAGAGAAAGAACAAGUCUUUCAAUAAUGGAAGAAUCAAACCUGAAGAGCCAAAUCUUCCAAGUUAAAGGAGCCAUAAUUUGUAAUGGGGCAUUUCUGGAUAUUUUGCUUUAUUUCUGACUUUUUUAACCAACUUUGUUUUUGGUGUUGACAUGGCUGCCUAUUAUCCAGGUGGAUGAUGUUGACUUGUCAUUUCCUCAAGCUUCAAUGACAGAAAGUGCAGAGUUAAAUCCAGACAAAAACCAAGGGAGUUUCCAGAUCUCAUUUAGGGAACAUCGACCAGGAAGCCAUUCUGCACCAAUAUUUCCCGAAAGAAAACCUGAUCCAGUUGAAAAAAUGAGACAAAUGCAAUCAUCUGUAAGGAAGUCCAACACAUAUGUGCUGCCCACACCUAUUGAUGCUAAGGGUGCAAUCUCGUCAAGAACAAGUGGUUCACUUAUCCAG
rnacentral:misc_RNA from 1 species